rnacentral:rRNA from 1 species
CUCGUGAAUUCAUCUCCGGGGGUAGAGCACUGUUUCGGCUAGGGGGCCAUCCCGGCUUACCAACCCGAUGCAAACUGCGAAUACCGGAGAAUGUUAUCACGGGAGACACACGGCGGGUGCUAACGUCCGUCGUGAAGAGGGAAACAACCCAGACCGCCAGCUAAGGUCCCAAAGUCAUGGUUAAGUGGGAAACGAUGUGGGAAGGCCCAGACAGCCAGGAUGUUGGCUUAGAAGCAGCCAUCAUUUAAAGAAAGCGUAAUAGCUCACUGGUCGAGUCGGCCUGCGCGGAAGAUGUAACGGGGCUAAACCAUGCACCGAAGCUGCGGCAGCGACGCUGAUGCGUUGUUGGGUAGGGGAGCGUUCUGUAAGCCUGCGAAGGUGGCCUGUGAGGGUUGCUGGAGGUAUCAGAAGUGCGAAUGCUGACAUAAGUAACGAUAAAGCGGGUGAAAAGCCCGCUCGCCGGAAGACCAAGGGUUCCUGUCCAACGUUAAUCGGGGCAGGGUGAGUCGACCCCUAAGGCGAGGCCGAAAGGCGUAGUCGAUGGGAAACGGGUUAAUAUUCCCGUACUUGGUGUUACUGCGAAGGGGGGACGGAGAAGGCUAUGUUGGCCGGGCGACGGUUGUCCCGGUUUAAGCGUGUAGGUGUGUGUUCCAGGUAAAUCCGGUUCACUUUAACACUGAGGCGUGAUGACGAGGCACUACGGUGCUGAAGCAACAAAUGCCCUGCUUCCAGGAAAAGCCUCUAAGCAUCAGGUAACAUCAAAUCGUACCCCAAACCGACACAGGUGGUCAGGUAGAGAAUACCAAGGCGCUUGAGAGAACUCGGGUGAAGGAACUAGGCAAAAUGGUGCCGUAACUUCGGGAGAAGGCACGCUGACACGUAGGUGAAGUGAUUUACUCAUGGAGCUGAAGUCAGUCGAAGAUACCAGCUGGCUGCAACUGUUUAUUAAAAACACAGCACUGUGCAAACACGAAAGUGGACGUAUACGGUGUGACGCCUGCCCGGUGCCGGAAGGUUAAUUGAUGGGGUCAGCGCAAGCGAAGCUCCUGAUCGAAGCCCCGGUAAACGGCGGCCGUAACUAUAACGGUCCUAAGGUAGCGAAAUUCCUUGUCGGGUAAGUUCCGACCUGCACGAAUGGCGUAAUGAUGGCCAGGCUGUCUCCACCCGAGACUCAGUGAAAUUGAACUCGCUGUGAAGAUGCAGUGUACCCGCGGCAAGACGGAAAGACCCCGUGAACCUUUACUAUAGCUUGACACUGAACAUUGAGCCUUGAUGUGUAGGAUAGGUGGGAGGCUUUGAAGUGUGGACGCCAGUCUGCAUGGAGCCGGCCUUGAAAUACCACCCUUUAAUGUUUGAUGUUCUAACGUGGACCCGUGAUCCGGGUUGCGGACAGUGUCUGGUGGGUAGUUUGACUGGGGCGGUCUCCUCCUAAAGAGUAACGGAGGAGCACGAAGGUUGGCUAAUCCUGGUCGGACAUCAGGAGGUUAGUGCAAUGGCAUAAGCCAGCUUGACUGCGAGCGUGACGGCGCGAGCAGGUGCGAAAGCAGGUCAUAGUGAUCCGGUGGUUCUGAAUGGAAGGGCCAUCGCUCAACGGAUAAAAGGUACUCCGGGGAUAACAGGCUGAUACCGCCCAAGAGUUCAUAUCGACGGCGGUGUUUGGCACCUCGAUGUCGGCUCAUCACAUCCUGGGGCUGAAGUAGGUCCCAAGGGUAUGGCUGUUCGCCAUUUAAAGUGGUACGCGAGCUGGGUUUAGAACGUCGUGAGACAGUUCGGUCCCUAUCUGCCGUGGGCGCUGGAGAACUGAGGGGGGCUGCUCCUAGUACGAGAGGACCGGAGUGGACGCAUCACUGGUGUUCGGGUUGUCAUGCCAAUGGCACUGCCCGGUAGCUAAAUGCGGAAGAGAUAAGUGCUGAAAGCAUCUAAGCACGAAACUUGCCCCGAGAUGAGUUCUCCCUGAGACUUAGAGUCUCCUGAAGGAACGUUGAAGACGACGACGUUGAUAGGCCGGGUGUGUAAGCGCAGCGAUGCGUUGAGCUAACCGGUACUAAUGAACCGUGAGGCUUAACCUU